ACGGGUGAGUAAUGCUUAGGAAUCUGCCUAUUAGUGGGGGACAACAUCUCGAAAGGGAUGCUAAUACCGCAUACGUCCUACGGGAGAAAGCAGGGGACCUUCGGGCCUUGCGCUAAUAGAUGGGCCUAAGUCGGAUUAGCUAGUUGGUGGGGUAAAGGCCUACCAAGGCGACGAUCUGUAGCGGGUCUGAGAGGAUGAUCCGCCACACUGGGACUGAGACACGGCCCAGACUCCUACGGGAGGCAGCAGUGGGGAAUAUUGGACAAUGGGGGGAACCCUGAUCCAGCCAUGCCGCGUGUGUGAAGAAGGCCUUUUGGUUGUAAAGCACUUUAAGCGAGGAGGAGGCUACCGAGAUUAAUACUCUUGGAUAGUGGACGUUACUCGCAGAAUAAGCACCGGCUAACUCUGUGCCAGCAGCCGCGGUAAUACAGAGGGUGCAAGCGUUAAUCGGAUUUACUGGGCGUAAAGCGCGCGUAGGUGGCCAAUUAAGUCAAAUGUGAAAUCCCCGAGCUUAACUUGGGAAUUGCAUUCGAUACUGGUUGGCUAGAGUAUGGGAGAGGAUGGUAGAAUUCCAGGUGUAGCGGUG
rnacentral:rRNA from 1 species